rnacentral:rRNA from 1 species
GAUGAACGCUGGCGUCGUGCCUAAUACAUGCAAGUCGAGCUCACCGGGGACGGGUGAGUAACACGUGGUUAACCCCCUAUCAGACUGUGAUAACUUCGGGAAACCCGAGCUAAACCGUAUUCUUUUAGCUCGAUCCGCGCUGCCUUAGCUAUUUGGUAAGGUAACGGCUUACCAAGGCCACGAUGCAUAGCCGACCUGAGAGUGUGAGCGGCCACACUGGAAAUGAGACACGGUCCAGAGUCGUACGCGAGGCAGCAGUAGGGAAUCUGCCGCAAUGGGCGAAAGCCUGACGGAGCAACGCGGCGUGAGUUAUGAAGGUCUUCGGAUCGUAAAACUAUGUUAUUAGGGAAGCGGUACCUAAUCAGAAAGCCACGGCUAACUACGUGCCAGCAGCCGCGGUAAUUC